AUUGAACGCUGGCGGCGUGCCUAACACAUGCAAGUCGAGCGGUAACAGGUGUAGCAAUACAUGCUGACGAGCGGCGAACGGGUGAGUAAUGCUUCGGAAUCUUCCCAUGUAGUGGGGAAUAACUAGCCGAAAGGUUAGCUAAUACCGCAUACGUCCUACGGGAGAAAGCAGGGGAUCGCAAGACCUUGCGCUAUUGGAUGAGCCGAAGUCGGAUUAGCAGUUGGUAGGGUAACGGCCUACCAAGGCGACAAUCCGUAGCUGGUCUGAGAGGACGACCAGCCACACUGGGACUGAGACACGGCCCAGACUCCUACGGGAGGCAGCAGUGGGGAAUAUUGGACAAUGGGGGAAACCCUGAUCCAGCGACGCCGCGUGUGUGAAGAAGGCCUGC
rnacentral:rRNA from 1 species